rnacentral:rRNA from 1 species
GCUCGAGUGGCGAACGGGUGAGUAACACGUGAGCAACCUGCCCUUGACUUUGGGAUAACUUCAGGAAACUGGGGCUAAUACCGGAUAGGAGCUCCUGCUGCAUGGUGGGGGUUGGAAAGUUUCGGCGGUUGGGGAUGGACUCGCGGCUUAUCAGCUUGUUGGUGGGGUAGUGGCUUACCAAGGCGGCGACGGGUAGCCGGCCUGAGAGGGUGUACGGCCACAUUGGGACUGAGAUACGGCCCAG